AAUAGCGUCUGUUCUUAGAAGCUAAGCAGCCUGAUUAGUACUUGGGUGGGAGACCAACUUGAAAGACCAGGGGCUGCUAUUC
rnacentral:rRNA from 12 species